GACGAACGCUGGCGGCGUGCUUAACACAUGCAAGUCGAACGGAAAGGCCCUGCUUUUGUGGGGUGCUCGAGUGGCGAACGGGUGAGUAACACGUGAGUAACCUGCCCUUGACUUUGGGAUAACUUCAGGAAACUGGGGCUAAUACCGGAUAGGAGCUCCUGCUGCAUGGUGGGGGUUGGAAAGUUUCGGCGGUUGGGGAUGGACUCGCGGCUUAUCAGCUUGUUGGUGGGGUAGUGGCUUACCAAGGCUUUGACGGGUAGCCGGCCUGAGAGGGUGACCGGCCACAUUGGGACUGAGAUACGGCCCAGACUCCUACGGGAGGCAGCAGUGGGGAAUAUUGCACAAUGGGCGGAAGCCUGAUGCAGCAACGCCGCGUGCGGGAUGACGGCCUUCGGGUUGUAAACCGCUUUCGCCUGUGACGAAGCGUGAGUGACGGUAAUGGGUAAAGAAGCACCGGCUAACUACGUGCCGGCAGCCGCGGUGAUACGUAGGGUGCGAGCGUUGUCCGGAUUUAUUGGGCGUAAAGGGCUCGUAGGUGGUGAUCGCGUCGGAAGUGUAAUCUUGGGGCUUAACCCUGAGCGUGCUUUCGAUACGGGUGAACUGAAGGAAGGUAGGGGAGAAUGGAAUUCCUGGUGGAGCGGUGGAAUGCGCAGAUAUCAGGAGGAACACCAGUGGCGAAGGCGGUUCUCUGGGGCUUUCCUGACGCUGAGGGGCGAAAGCGUGGGGAGCGAACAGGCUUAGAUACCCUGGUAGUCCACGCUGUAAACGGUGGGUACUAGGUGUGGGGUCCAUUCCACGGGUUCCGUGCCGUAGCUAACGCUUUAAGUACCCCGCCUGGGGAGUACGGCCGCAAGGCUAAAACUCAAAGGAAUUGACGGGGCCCCGCACAAGCGGCGGAGCAUGCGGAUUAAUUCGAUGCAACGCGUAGAACCUUACCUGGGUUUGACAUGGAUCGGGAGUGCUCAGAGAUGGGUGUGCCUCUUUUGGGGUCGGUUCACAGGUGGUGCAUGGCUGUCGUCAGCUCGUGUCGUGAGAUGUUGGGUUAAGUCCCGCAACGAGCGCAACCCUUGUUCACUGUUGCCAGCACGUUAUGGUGGGGACUCAGUGGAGACCGCCGGGGUCAACUCGGAGGAAGGUGGGGAUGACGUCAAGUCAUCAUGCCCCUUAUGUCCAGGGCUUCACGCAUGCUACAAUGGCUGGUACAGAGAGUGGCGAGCCUGUGAGGGUGAGCGAAUCUCGGAAAGCCGGUCUCAGUUCGGAUUGGGGUCUGCAACUCGACCUCAUGAAGUCGGAGUCGCUAGUAAUCGCAGAUCAGCAACGCUGCGGUGAAUACGUUCCCGGGGCU
rnacentral:rRNA from 1 species